rnacentral:snRNA from 1 species
AUACUCUGGUUUCUCUUCAGAUCAUAUAAAUCUUUUGCCUUUUACUAAAGAUUUCCGUGGAUAGGGGGAAAAAAAAAGAAUAAGAUACCUA